AACGAACGCUGGCGGCGUGCCUAACACAUGCAAGUCGAACGAGAAAGGGGCUUCGGCUCCGAGUAAAGUGGCGCACGGGUGAGUAACACGUGGGUAACCUGCCUCUAAGAUUGGGAUAACUCGUCGAAAGAUGAGCUAAUACCGAAUAAGACCACAGUUCCCGCGGGAACAGGGGUCAAAGGUAGCCUCUGCUUGCAAGCUAUCACUUAGAGAUGGGCCUGCGCACCAUUAGCUAGUUGGUAGGGUAACGGCCUACCAAGGCAAAGAUGGUUAGCUGGUCUCAGAGGAUGAUCAGCCACACUGGAACUGAGACACGGUCCAGACUCCUACGGGAGGCAGCAGUGGGGAAUAUUGCGCAAUGGGCGAAAGCUUGACGCAGCAACGCCGCGUGAGUGAUGAAGGCCUUCGGGUCGUAAAGCUCUGUCGGGAGGAACGAAUGCUCCUGAGGUUAACAGCCUCGGGAGGUGACGGUACCUUCAAAGGAAGCACCGGCUAACUCUGUG
rnacentral:rRNA from 1 species